GAUGAACGCUGGCGGCGUGCUUAACACAUGCAAGUCGAACGGUGAAGGCGGAGCUUGCUCUGCUGGAUCAGUGGCGAACGGGUGAGUAACACGUGAGCAAUCUGCCCCUGACUCUGGGAUAAGCGCUGGAAACGGCGUCUAAUACUGGAUACGAGCUGCGAAGGCAUCUUCAGCAGCUGGAAAGAACUUCGGUCAGGGAUGAGCUCGCGGCCUAUCAGCUUGUUGGUGAGGUAGCGGCUCACCAAGGCGUCGACGGGUAGCCGGCCUGAGAGGGUGACCGGCCACACUGGGACUGAGACACGGCCCAGACUCCUACGGGAGGCAGCAGUGGGGAAUAUUGCACAAUGGGCGAAAGCCUGAUGCAGCAACGCCGCGUGAGGGACGACGGCCUUCGGGUUGUAAACCUCUUUUAGCAGGGAAGAAGCGAAAGUGACGGUACCUGCAGAAAAAGCGCCGGCUAACUACGUG
rnacentral:rRNA from 1 species